rnacentral:rRNA from 1 species
AUUGAACGCUGGCGGCAGGCCUAACACAUGCAAGUCGAACGAGUGGCGGACGGGUGAGUAAUGUCUGGGAAACUGCCCGAUGGCGGGGGAUAACUACUGGAAACGGUAGCUAAUACCGCAUACCAUCGGAUGUGCCCAGAUGGGAUUAGCUAGUAGGUGGGGUAACGGCUCACCUAGGCGACGAUCCCUAGCUGGUCUGAGAGGAUGACCAGCCACACGGGAACGGGGACACGGUCACGACUCGUACGGGAGGCAGCAGUGGGGAAUAUUGCACAAUAGUCGCAAGCCUGAUGCAUCCAUGCAGCGUGUAUGAAGAAGGCCUUCGGGUUGUAAAGUACUUUCAGCGAGGAGGCGUUACUCGCAGAAGAAGCACCGGCUAACUCCGUGCCAGCAGCCGCGGUAAUUC